UUGUGUGAACGAGUGUGUAAAUGAACUUGUAAUCAUGAAUCAUUUCAUCAUGUUGGAAUUCGUACAUUUUUUCAUGUUAAAUGUGUUUUUUUCUUCCUUAGCAGUUAAAGUCAUUAGUGUCAGGGUGAUCCGAAACAGACGUUAGAGUCCAGACACAUAUUCUGUGAAUGAUCACCUGCAAUCAUUCCUCACCACCUACAAAUAAAAUAUCACAAAAAUAUAAUUCCUUUCAUGUAUUUUAUCAUAUUUAAAAACAAAAA